AUUGAACGCUGGCGGCAUGCCUUACACAUGCAAGUCGAACGGUAACAGGUUAAGCUGACGAGUGGCGAACGGGUGAGUAAUGUAUCGGAACGUGUCCAGUCGUGGGGGAUAACUACUCGAAAGAGUGGCUAAUACCGCAUACGACCUGAGGGUGAAAGCGGGGGACCGUAAGGCCUCGCGCGAUUGGAGCGGCCGAUAUCAGAUUAGCUAGUUGGUGGGGUAAAAGCCCACCAAGGCGACGAUCUGUAGCUGGUCUGAGAGGACGACCAGCCACACUGGGACUGAGACACGGCCCAGACUCCUACGGGAGGCAGCAGUGGGAAAUUUUGGACAAUGGACGCAAGUCUGAUCCAGCCAUGCCGCGUGCGGGAAGAAGGCCUUCGGGUUGUAAACCGCUUUUGUACGGAACGAAACGGCUCCGGCUAAUACCUGGAGCUAAUGACGGUACCGUAAGAAUAAGCACCGGCUAACUACGUGCCAGCAGCCGCCGUAAUAC
rnacentral:rRNA from 1 species